rnacentral:rRNA from 1 species
AGCUCUCGUAAUGUAUAGAAUUAUUGUUGCGGUUAAAAAGUUCGUAGUUGGAUUUCAUACCACUUGCAGGUAGUGUUUAACGAUGCUUACUUGCGGUGGUGUUUACAUCGAGUCGAGUUCACUUGGCUAGAUGUGGAUUACUUUGAACGGCUUAAGUGCUCAAGGCGAGUCUUCGGACUGAAUACCGGUGCAUGGAAUAAUGGAACAAGGUUUCGGCUGAGUUUUAUUGGUUUUGUCGGCAGAGACAAUGGUUAACAGGAACAGCUGGGGGCACUCGUAUCCCGGCGCGAGAGGUGAAAUUCGUGGACCGUCGGGAGACGCCCUAAAGCGAAGGCAUUUGCCAAGAGUGUUUUCA